rnacentral:rRNA from 1 species
UCGGGAAUCUUGGGCAAUGGGCGAAAGCCUGACCCAGCAACUCCGCGUGAGGGAUGAAGGCCUUCGGGUCGUAAACCUCUGUCAGAAGGGAAGAACAGCUGGCCGGUAAAUAGUCGGUCGGCCUGACGGUACCUUCAAAGGAAGCACCGGCUAACUCCGUGCCAGCAGCCGCGGUAAUACGGAGGGUGCAAGCGUUGUUCGGAAUCAUUGGGCGUAAAGCGGGUGUAGGCGGUUUGGCAAGUCGAGUGUGAAAUCCCAGGGCCCAACCCUGGAACUGCACUCGAUACUGCUUGACUAGAGUCCCGGAGGGGGUGGCGGAAUUCCCGGUGUAGAGGUGAAAUUCGUAGAUAUCGGGAGGAACACCAGUGGCGAAGGCGGCCACCUGGACGGUGACUGACGCUCAGACCCGAAAGCGUGGGGAGCAAACAGGAUUAGAUACCCCCGUAGUCC